rnacentral:rRNA from 1 species
AACGAACGCUGGCGGCAUGCCUAACACAUGCAAGUCGAACGAGACCUUCGUGUGUAGUUGCGCACGGGUGCGUAACGCGUGGGAACCUUCCCUUAGGUUCGGAAUAACUCCCCUAAAUGGGUGCUAAUACCGGAUAAUGUCUUCGGACCAAAGAUUUAUCGCCUUUGGAUGGGCCCGCGUUGGAUUAGCUAGUUGGUAGUGUAAAAGCCUACGAAGGCGACGAUCCAUAGCUGGUCUGAGAGGAUGAGCAGCGACACUGGGACUGAGACACGGCCCAGACUCCUACGGGAGGCAGCAGUGGGGAAUAUUGGAAAAUGGGCGAAAGCCUGAUCCAGCAAUGCCGCGUGAGUGAUGAAGGCCUUAGAGUUGUAAAGCUCUUUUACCCGGGAUGAUAAUGACAGUACCGGGAGAAUAAGCACCGGCUAACUCCGUG